GGAGAGUUUGAUCCUGGCUCAGGACGAACGCUGGCGGCGUGCUUAACACAUGCAAGUCGAGCGGUAAGGCCUUUCGGGGUACACGAGCGGCGAACGGGUGAGUAACACGUGGGUGAUCUGCCCUGCACUUCGGGAUAAGCCUGGGAAACUGGGUCUAAUACCGGAUAUGACCUCCUAUCGCAUGGUGGGUGGUGGAAAGAUUUAUCGGUGCAGGAUGGGCCCGCGGCCUAUCAGCUUGUUGGUGGGGUAAUGGCCUACCAAGGCGACGACGGGUAGCCGACCUGAGAGGGUGACCGGCCACACUGGGACUGAGACACGGCCCAGACUCCUACGGGAGGCAGCAGUGGGGAAUAUUGCACAAUGGGCGAAAGCCUGAUGCAGCGACGCCGCGUGAGGGAUGACGGCCUUCGGGUUGUAAACCUCUUUCAGCAGGGACGAAGCGCAAGUGAC
rnacentral:rRNA from 1 species